rnacentral:rRNA from 1 species
UAGGGAAUCUUCGGCAAUGGACGAAAGCCUGAUCGAGCAACGCCGCGUGAGUGAAGAAGGUUUUCGGAUUGUAAAACUCUGUUGUUAGAGAAGAACAAGGACGUUAGUAACUGAACGUCCCCUGACGGUAUCUAACCAGAAAGCCACGGCUAACUACGUGCCAGCAGCCGCGGUAAUACGUAGGUGGCAAGCGUUGUCCGGAUUUAUUGGGCGUAAAGCGAGCGCAGGCGGUUUCUUAAGUCUGAUGUGAAAGCCCCCGGCUCAACCGGGGAGGGUCAUUGGAAACUGGGAGACUUGAGUGCAGAAGAGGAGAGUGGAAUUCCAUGUGUAGCGGUGAAAUGCGUAGAUAUAUGGAGGAACACCAGUGGCGAAGGCGGCUCUCUGGUCUGUAACUGACGCUGAGGCUCGAAAGCGUGGGGAGCAAACAGG